GUGCUCACUUAGGAAGCACAAAUACUAAAAUUGGAACAAUACAGAGAAGAUUAGCAUGACCGCUGUGCAAGGAUGACAUGCAAAUUCUUGAUGUAUUCCAUAUUUUU